rnacentral:lncRNA from 1 species
UUUAGUGGUAGAUUUAGUUAGGUUAGUAGUUUUAGUUAGGUCAGUUAGUUAGCUUGGUUAGUUAGGUGGAGGAGGAGAAGAGGAGAAGAGGAGGAGGAGGAGGACGAGAAGAGGAGAAGAAGAAGAGGAGUAGGAGGAGGAGGAGAAUAAGAAUAAUAAUAAUAAGAAGAAGAAGAAGAAGAGGAGAAGAAAAAAAAUAAGAAGGAGAAGAAGAAUAAGAAGAAGAAGAAGAAGAAGAAUAAGAAGAAGAAGAAGAAGAAUAGAAGAAAAAAUACGAAGGAGAAGAAGUAAAGAAGAAGAGAAGAAGAAGAGAAGAAGAGAAUAAGAAGAAAAAAAGAAGGAGAAGAAGAGAAAAAAGAAGAAGAAUUUGAUUUUUUAUUGUUUGGUAUUUAGUGGUAGCAAGAUUCUUUU